rnacentral:rRNA from 1 species
GAUGAACGCUGGCGGCGUGCCUAAUACAUGCAAGUCGAGCGAACGGACUAGAAGCUUGCUUCUCUGAUGUUAGCGGCGGACGGGUGAGUAACACGUGGAUAACCUACCUAUAAGACUGGGAUAACUUCGGGAAACCGUAGCUAAUACCGGAUAAUAUUUUGAACCGCAUGGUUCAAUAGUGAAAGACGGUCUUGCUGUCACUUAUAGAUGGAUCCGCGCUGCAUUAGCUAGUUGGUAAGGUAACGGCUUACCAAGGCAACGAUGCAUAGCCGACCUGAGAGAGGGAUCGGCCACACUGGAACUGGAACACGGUCCAGACUCCUACGGGAGGCAGCAGUAGGGAAUCGUCCGCAAUGGGCGAAAGCCUGACGGAGCAACGCCGCGUGAGUGGUGAAGGUCUUCGGAUCGUAAAACUCUGUUAUUAGGGAAGAACAUAUGUGUAAGGAACUGUGCACAUCUUGACGGUACCUAAUCAGAAAGCCACGGCUAACUACGUG